AGAGGGUGCGAGCGUUAAUCGGAUUUACUGGGCGUAAAGCGUGCGUAGGCGGCUGAUUAAGUCGGAUGUGAAAUCCCUGAGCUUAACUUAGGAAUUGCAUUCGAUACUGGUCAGCUAGAGUAUGGGAGAGGAUGGUAGAAUUCCAGGUGUAGCGGUGAAAUGCGUAGAGAUCUGGAGGAAUACCGAUGGCGAAGGCAGCCAUCUGGCCUAAUACUGACGCUGAGGUACGAAAGCAUGGGGAGCAAAC
rnacentral:rRNA from 1 species